rnacentral:rRNA from 1 species
AUUGAACGCUAGCGGGAUGCUUUACACAUGCAAGUCGAACGGCAGCGCGGACUUCGGUCUGGCGGCGAGUGGCGAACGGGUGAGUAAUGUAUCGGAACGUGCCCAGUAGCGGGGGAUAACUACGCGAAAGCGUAGCUAAUACCGCAUACGCCCUACGGGGGAAAGCAGGGGAUCGUAAGACCUUGCACUAUUUGAGCGGCCGAUAUCGGAUUAGCUAGUUGGUGAGGUAACGGCUCACCAAGGCGACGAUCCGUAGCUGGGUUGAGAGGACGACCAGCCACACUGGGACUGAGACACGGCCCAGACUCCUACGGGAGGCAGCAGUGGGGAAUUUUGGACAAUGGGGGCAACCCUGAUCCAGCCAUCCCGCGUGUGCGAUGAAGGCCUUCGGGUUGUAAAGCACUUUUGGCAGGAAAGAAACGUCGCGGGCUAAUACCCCGUGGAACUGACGGUACCUGCAGAAUAAGCACCGGCUAACUACGUG